UACGAAGGGGGCUAGCGUUGCUCGGAAUGACUGGGCGUAAAGGGCGCGUCGGCGGAUUGCUUUGUCGGGCGUGAAAUUCCAGGGCUUAACCUUGGGGCUGCGUUCGAGACGGGUGAUCUUGAGUUCGGAAGAGGGUCGUGGAAUUCCCAGUGUAGAGGUGAAAUUCGUAGAUAUUGGGGAGAACACCGGUGGCGAAGGCGGCGACCUGGUCCGAGACUGACGCUGAGGCGCGAAAGCGUGGGGAGCAAACAGG
rnacentral:rRNA from 1 species